rnacentral:misc_RNA from 1 species
UGUGGGAGCUGGCUUGCCUGCGAUAGCGGUGGCUCAGUUGACUCAUCAGUGACUGACACACUGCCAUCGCAGGCAAGCCAGCUCCCACA